CCCUGCUCAGGAUGAACGCUGGCGGCGUGCUUAACACAUGCAAGUCGAACGAUGAAGCCCAGCUUGCUGGGUGGAUUAGUGGCGAACGGGUGAGUAACACGUGAGUAACCUGCCCUUAACUCUGGGAUAAGCCUGGGAAACUAGGUCUAAUACCGGAUAGGAGCGCCCACCGCAUGGUGGGUGUUGGAAAGAUUUAUCGGUUUUGGAUGGACUCGCGGCCUAUCAGCUUGUUGGUGAGGUAAUGGCUCACCAAGGCGACGACGGGUAGCCGGCCUGAGAGGGUGACCGGCCACACUGGGACUGAGACACGGCCCAGACUCCUACGGGAGGCAGCAGUGGGGAAUAUUGCACAAUGGGCGCAAGCCUGAUGCAGCGACGCCGCGUGAGGGAUGACGGCCUUCGGGUUGUAAACCUCUUUCAGUAGGGAAGAAGCGAAAGUGACGGUACCUGCAGAAGAAGCACCGGCUAA
rnacentral:rRNA from 1 species